rnacentral:rRNA from 1 species
UACGGGGGGAGCAAGCGUUGUUCGGAUUUACUGGGCGUAAAGGGCGAGUAGGCGGCCACCGCAAGUCGACUGUGAAAUCUCCGGGCUUAACCCGGAAAGGUCAGCCGAUACUGCGGGGCUAGAGUGCAGAAGGGGCAACUGGAAUUCUCGGUGUAGCGGUGAAAUGCGUGGAUAUCGAGAGGAACACCUGCGGCGAAGGCGGGUUGCUGGGCUGACACUGACGCUGAGGCGCGAAAGCUAGGGGAGCGAACGGG